rnacentral:lncRNA from 1 species
AGAGGAGGGAGAAGGUUAGGGCAUAGAAGAGAACCCGUUAGAGAAGAUUGAAAGAAAUUUCAAGAGAAAUCUAAGGUAAGAGGGGAGAAUAACUUUUAAUAAAAAGGGCUUAUGCAUGAGGGGUAGGGUAGACGAGUCCUUAAUCUCUAAUCGGGAUUGUAUAAAUUUUGUUUUGUUUUGUUGUUGUUGUAUGAUUUUUUUGUGCUCUAUUGAGUGAUCUGUGUGCAUUCUUAUAUUUUGAUUUUAUACGUAUGUUGAUGCCUUUGAUAAGGAAAAGCUAAUAUGAAAACCAUGUUGAUGUCAUAUUCUUGAAUACCUUCUAUAAGAUUAGGAAUAACUAUUUAUUUUUGAGAUUUCUGCUUUGCCUUAUAAUUGUGUGAUAAUUAGUGUUUGUGCCCUUUAGGGCAAAUUUUCAUAAUAAUAAUUGAAUCAUGGUAUAUACCUAUUUGGAGUAUCAUAGGUGUGUUUUUAAGAGCGGUUAGAACUCAAAUAGGCGAAAUAUACGAGUUUCGAAAUAUGUUCAAUAGGGAGAAAAGCGUGAAAAAUCGCAUGUAGAUGUAGAAGGGGAUUGACCGCCUUAUUUCAGGCACAACUUGAGUUUCGGGACUCGGAUUGAGGCACAGUUUAAAGUGUUGGUAAUAUCACGUGAUAAUCCUUCUUUUGAAGUAGAGGAAUUGGGCCUAGAGGUACUACAACAAUAGCAGUUUGCUGAUUUUUAUACCAGAGACGUAGUCAAUUUCAACCAUGCGUUGGUCAUCAUGUUUGAGGCAUAACUUGAGUUUUGUAAGUCCUUUUGAGAUGCCACAAGUUGAGUUAGAAAAAAGGGUUUAAUGAUAUUUCAAACUAAAGAGUUUCAUAAUUUUAUCAUGAGUAUAUAAGCUUUCGUGCUAUUUUGAAGUCCGACAUUCUGUUUUAGAGUUUGUGCAUAAAUUAUUGUGAUAUGGCUAAACUGAAACGAAUAGAACCGGAGUUUCGUAACUCCGUCGAAGCUACGAUGAAGUGAAUUUAAAAGAGGGUUUAAAUAUAUUUUAGACUAUAGAGUUUCAUAAUUUUAUCAUAAGUCUUUAAUUUUUGUGGUAUUUUGGAGUUAGACAAUUUUAGAGUUAGGUCAAGAGUUUUUAGCAAUUUUGAGUGUGGUAACCUUUCGUUACCUCUUUAAAGAGUUUAAGAGUCAUAUUUUAUUUGGUUAGCGUUGUUAUAGAAUUUUGAGAGUUACUUUUGAGUUGUUUAGAGUUGGAUAUUAGAAUAUAGGAUACACUUGAGUUGAACUUGAAACAUUGUUGACAUGAUAAGGUUAUCUUUUGAGUAAUAUUUUUAUGUGUUUAAGGUUGUUAAGGAUAAAGAGUUAAAAUAGAGUUGUUGAGUAAUUAAUAAUAAUAUUUUAGAGUUGAGUUAAAGAUAUUUAUUAUUUAGAGUCGUCAAUAGAGUUGUUAUAACAACCAAUUGAGUUCAUAAGAGUUAUCUUUAUGGACAAUAGUUGGUAGUAGAACAUAUUUGAGCACCUUAGAGUUAUUUUAAAGAUACCGAGAUUGUUGUAAAGUUGUUAAGAGUUCCUUAGAAACUAUGUUGUGUAUAAUUAUAUAUUCAAAUAACUUUUUACGAGUUAAUAGUAUAAAAUAAAUUAAUAAAAAUACUUUAUUUAUAUGUUUUGAGCUCAUAAAAAUGUUGUUUUCAAUUCUUUUGAGUUUUCGGAACUGUUGGCUACCGUUGGAUAGUGUUAGGGGUUGUUUGACAUAACUUAAAUGAUUAAAAAUAAUUUUUAAUUGAUUUUAUUAAUUUUAUUGAGUUGAAGUAUUAUACGUGUUAGAGUUGUGUUGCUAUGUUGAGUAUUGUGUGAGCUGUUGUGGUAAUCCAAGAGAGAGAUUUACAUGAAGUUGUCAAUGCAUGUACGCUAGGAUCAAAAGAUGGGUCUUAACUUAUUGAAUUUUGUUAACAUGUUCAUACAUUCAUGGUGAGUUGUAUCAAGUGGCAUGUUCGUUAGUUUAUAAGAAGGGACUAGUGACUUGUCCCAAGCUCAAAGAGGAGGCUUGGAGCUCAGAAUAGGGGGCUCAGGGGUUCGGAAGAGGGGACUCAGUUCCAGAGAGAACCAAAUGUUGAGUUGGUACCAUAUGCAUAUGCAUAGAGUUGAAUAAACGAGUUGCAUUGUAUAACGAGUCAUAUGUGCAUUGGUUGAGAUAUAUUUAUUGAGUUGCGAUUGGUUUUGUGAGUUGGAUGUGGGAAUGUAAUUGAUAUAUUGUGAUUGAGAUUUUGUAGAAAAUGAUAUGUGUUUAAUAUCCUAUCUUGUGGUAUAUGUCUGUUAUUAUUAAUUGUGAUUUCUCACCCUUUUUGUUUGAAUGUUGCAUUUACAUGGGCAUUGUGCAGAUACUCAAGAGAAGAGACGUUGUUGUAAGUGCAUGCUAGCUCAUGGAGCUAUUUCUUUUAGUUUAGUUGUUUUAAUUUUGGUUAUGCUCUGAUAUGUUACACUAGGGAGAAAUUUUAUUUGUUUUAUGUUGAGGUUUUCUGAGAGACAAUGUAUCCUCUCAUAUGUUUGUGUUUGGGUGUGAUAAGCAUUUGGAGAAGUCUUACGAGUCGAUACUUUUAAUAUCAAUAUGAAGCUUUAUU